rnacentral:rRNA from 1 species
AGAGUUUGAUCCUGGCUCAGGAUGAACGCUAGCGACAGGCCUAACACAUGCAAGUCGAGGGGCAGCAUUUCUAGCUUGCUAGAAGAUGGCGACCGGCGCACGGGUGAGUAACGCGUAUGCAACCUACCUUAUACUGGGGGAUAGCCCAGAGAAAUCUGGAUUAAUACCGCAUAACAUAUUUGAAUCGCAUGGUUUGAAUAUUAAAACUCCGGUGGUAUAAGAUGGGCAUGCGUAGCAUUAGUUAGUUGGUGAGGUAACGGUUCACCAAGACUAUGAUGCUUAGGGGGUCUGAGAGGAUAGUCCCCCACACUGGUACUGAGACACGGACCAGACUCCUACGGGAGGCAGCAGUGAGGAAUAUUGGUCAAUGGGCGCAAGCCUGAACCAGCCAUGUCGCGUGCAGGAUGACGGCCCUAUGGGUUGUAAACUGCUUUUUUACAGGAAUAAUUGUCGCUACGUGUAGUGAUUUGAAUGUACUGUAUGAAUAAGAUCGCUAACUA